GAUCAUGGCUCAGAUUGAACGCUGGCGGCAGGCCUAACACAUGCAAGUCGAACGAGACCUUCGGGUCUAGUGGCGCACGGGUGCGUAACACGUGGGAAUUUGCCUCGGGGUAUGGAAUAACUCAGGGAAACUUGAGCUAAUACCAUAUAAUGUCUUCGGACCAAAGAUUUAUCGCCCUGAGAUAAGCCCGCGUAGGAUUAGCUAGUUGGUGGGGUAAAGGCUCACCAAGGCGACGAUCCUUAGCUGGUCUGAGAGGAUGAUCAGCCACACUGGGACUGAGACACGGCCCAGACUCCUACGGGAGGCAGCAGUGGGGGAAUAUUGGACAAUGGGCGAAAGCCUGAUCCAGCAAUGCCGCGUGAGUGAUGAAGGCCUUCGGGUUGUAAAGCUCUUUUACUCGGGACGAUAAUGACGGUACCGAGAGAAUAAGCCCCGGCUAACUCCGUG
rnacentral:rRNA from 1 species